UGGGGAAUAUUGGACAAUGGGCGAAAGCCUGAUCCAGCCAUGCCGCGUGUGUGAAGAAGGUCUUCGGAUUGUAAAGCACUUUAAGUUGGGAGGAAGGGCCAUUACCUAAUACGUGAUGGUUUUGACGUUACCCUCAGAAGCAGCACCGGCUAACUCCGUGCCAGCAGCCGCGGUAAUACGGGGGGUGCAAGCGUUAAUCGGAAUUACUGGGCGUAAAGCGCGCGUAGGUGGUUUGUUAAGUUGGAUGUGAAAUCCCCGGGCUCAACCUGGGAACUGCAUUCAAAACUGACAAGCUAGAGUAUGGUAGAGGGUGGUGGAAUUUCCUGUGUAGCGGUGAAAUGCGUAGAUAUAGGAAGGAACACCAGUGGCGAAGGCGACCACCUGGACUGGUACUGACGCUGAGGUGCGAAAGCGUGGGGAGCAAACAGGAUUAGAUACCCCUGUAGUCCCUGAGCGGGCUGGCAAGGCGCAU
rnacentral:rRNA from 1 species